AUGCUCACGUAUUUACGCACGCCCGUGCGUAAAUAAAGAUUUUGUUCAUAGCGGUUCAAUAGGACUUAUAUAGGGCAAGCACACGCGCUAUGUUAUAGGAUGGCAUUUCGUUAUAACAGCAAUCUAUUAUCACCAUUCAUUUCUAGGAUGUAAAUGAACAGCUACGCUCAAAAGUGAAUGAAAUAUUGGGAUAAAAGUAAAGCCAUGACGACAAACUAGGUCAAUAAACCUACAAUCUUUCCCGAAAAGCUGCGAAUUCAUUUGACCUUUCUGUUGAAAUACAGUCCAUAUUCUCGCCACGGAAAUUUUCCUUCUUCACCAUUUCCCACACUCUUUUGGUAGAGUAGGUUUAUAAUGAUAUAUGUGGAAAUUUGCAUUGACGUGUUUAUAAAACUCGAAAUGCAGUAUCGACGAGCACCAAUUUUUCACCUGGCUGGUAUAAAUGUAGCGAAUCAUAAAUUAACUAAGGAACAAACAGAAAAAUUUUAAUAAGACAAGUUGCUUGAUGAAAUCAAUUGCAUUUUGGUUGUGUCAAGAUCAAUCUAGAGACCUCACAAUUCCUUGAGAAAACAGACUGUAAACUAAGUACGUAUAUCACUAGAAUGACGAGGCUGAAUUUGCGCACAAUCUUUCCCUCGUGUGUUCUUGUUCUGGUUGCAAUCACAAGUAACGAAUCGUGUCCAGGCUCUGCAGAAAAUUUUGAACACAUUUUACAGACUCGUCAGCUUCCCGGAAAAUUUCAGUCUAAUGAUGAGGGAUUCAUCCUAUCUAGACAGCCUGUUCAUUCAAUGAUGGAAUGCCUAGAUACAUGCUUGCGAACAGUUAUGUGUGGUUCUUUUGGCGUGGUUAAAAGGCCAGAGAGGUGGGGUUGCCGAAUUUACAAACAUAUCCCACACCACCAGCUUCUAAAGCUGAUCCAUCCAAAAGCCGGAUGGAUGCAUUUUAACGCAAGCUCAUACGAACUUCAAAAGAUUCUAUGGCAAGCAAACGUGGCCUGCAGAUAAAGGAAAAGAGCUCUGUUUACAUUAACAAUAAUUAUAUUAAAAAAGUGGCGCUGAGAAAAACAUGGACAAAGACAUAUGCCUCCCGAAGAAAAAUCGUUGAGUGUGAUUUAUAGCAUGUAGUGCCACUCCAACAGAAGAAAAUUAUACAUGUGA